rnacentral:antisense_RNA from 1 species
CAAAAAUAAAAAAGCAAUGGAUCCUAAUGCCAACGCCACUCCAAAAGGAAUGGUUUUUUCCAGAAUGUCACGAUUGAACGG